rnacentral:rRNA from 1 species
GUGUCAGCAGCCGCGGUAAUACGGAGGAUGCGAGCGUUAUCCGGAUUUAUUGGGUUUAAAGGGUGCGUAGGCGGCCUGUUAAGUUAGUGGUUAAAUGUCGGGGCUAAACCCCGGAUUGCCAUUAAAACUGGCGGGCUCGAGUACAGACGAGGUAGGCGGAAUAAGUCAAGUAGCGGUGAAAUGCUUAGAUAUGACUUAGAACUCCGAUAGCGAAGGCAGCUUACCAGGCUGAGACUGACGCUGAAGCACGAGAGCGUGGGUAGCGAACAGGAUUAGAUACCCUGGUAGUCCACGCCGUAAACGAUGCUCACUGGUUCUUGGCGACAAACGGUCGGGGAUCAAGCGAAAGUAUUAAGUGAGCCACCUGGGGAGUACGUCGGCAACGAUGAA